UGUGUGUGUGUGUGUGUGUGUGUGUGUGUGUGUGUGUGUGUGUGUGUGUGUGUGUGUGUGUGUGUGUGUGUGUGUGUGUGUGUGUGUAGAUCUUCUAUGACCUUGUGCGUCAGAUUAACAGGAAGAGUCCAGUUCAAGGGAAAGCUCGCAAAAAGUCCAACUGUCAACUCCUCUAAUAAUCGGUUUCUUCUCACCUGACCGACAACCGACCAACCGACCAAUCACAGGACAUCUUCCAACUGGCCACGCUCCUUUAACGCACCUGUGUCGUCAUCAACAUCCGCCACCUCUGACCUCUGUUCCCGUGACGACCACAUCUCCCCUCCCCUCACCACACAGUCCAACAGAGACCGUUGCCUUGGAAACAUUAAAACUAAACAUCAAAAGAAGGCGACGAUGACGACGACGACGACGACGACGACGGAGAUUUUGAUUCUGCUGU